UUCCGGUUGAUCCUGCCGGAGUGGCGGCUAUCAGAGUGAGAUUAAGCCAUGCGAGUUAACGUAGUAAUACGUGGCGCACGGCUCAGUAACACGUAGUCAACAUGCCCAGAGGACGUGGAUAACCUCGGGAAACUGAGUCCCCCUCCGCGAUAAGUGAGGAUUUCUGGAAUGGCUCCUGACUAAUAUCUAUAUGGCCUCUGGAUUGGACUGCGGCCGAUCAGGCUGUUGGUGAGGUAAUGGCCCACCAAACCUGUAACCGGUUCGGGCUCUGAUAGGAGGAGCCCCUAAAUGCUGACUGCCUCUAGGGUCCCUGGCCUAUUGGGCCCAUAUUGCCCUC
rnacentral:rRNA from 1 species